rnacentral:rRNA from 1 species
GACGAACGCUGGCGGCGCGCUUAACACAUGCAAGUCGAGCGAGAACCUGGGCUUCGGCCCUGGGGACAGCGGCGAACGGGUGAGUAACACGUGGGUAAUCUGCCCUUGACAUCGGGAUAGCCCGGGGAAACCCGGAUUAAUACCGAAUAGCCUCCGGAGCCUUCGGGCGUCGGAGAAAAGGUAGCUUCGGCCUCUGGUCAAGGAUGAGCCCGCGGCGGAUUAGCUUGUUGGCGGGGUAACGGCCCACCAAGGCAACGAUCCGUAGCUGGUCUGAGAGGACGAUCAGCCACACUGGGACUGAGACACGGCCCAGACUCCUACGGGUGGCUG